rfam:Picea glauca, whole genome shotgun sequence.
ACAUGCCUACAACAUAUCGUUAAUGCAUCAGAUCCCAGUAGAAAUUCACAGUUAAGAAUGCUCGAGAUAGAGUAGUAUUGGGAGGGGUGACCACCUGGGAAGUCCAAGUAUUUUACAUGCC